UAGGGAAUCUUCCACAAUGGACGCAAGUCUGAUGGAGCAACGCCGCGUGAGUGAAGAAGGUUUUCGGAUCGUAAAGCUCUGUUGUUGGUGAAGAAGGAUAGAGGCAGUAACUGGUCUUUAUUUGACGGUAAUCAACCAGAAAGUCACGGCUAACUACGUGCCAGCAGCCGCGGUAAUACGUAGGUGGCAAGCGUUGUCCGGAUUUAUUGGGCGUAAAGCGAGCGCAGGCGGAAUGAUAAGUCUGAUGUGAAAGCCCACGGCUCAACCGUGGAACUGCAUCGGAAACUGUCAUUCUUGAGUGCAGAAGAGGAGAGUGGAAUUCCAUAUGUAGCGGUGGAAUGCGUAGAUAUAUGGAAGAACACCAGUGGCGAAGGCGGCUCUCUGGUCUGCAACUGACGCUGAGGCUCGAAAGCAUGGGUAGCGAACAGG
rnacentral:rRNA from 1 species